rnacentral:rRNA from 1 species
AUUGAACGCUGGCGGCAGGCCUAACACAUGCAAGUCGAGCGGAUGAAGGGAGCUUGCUCCUGGAUUCAGCGGCGGACGGGUGAGUAAUGCCUAGGAAUCUGCCUGGUAGUGGGGGAUAACGUCCGGAAACGGGCGCUAAUACCGCAUACGUCCUGAGGGAGAAAGUGGGGGAUCUUCGGACCUUACGCUAUCAGAUGAGCCUAGGUCGGAUUAGCUAGUUGGUGGGGUAAAGGCCUACCAAGGCGACGAUCCGUAGCUGGUCUGAGAGGAUGAUCAGUCACACUGGAACUGAGACACGGUCCAGACUCCUACGGGAGGCAGCAGUGGGGAAUAUUGGACAAUGGGCGAAAGCCUGAUCCAGCCAUGCCGCGUGUGUGAAGAAGGUCUUCGGAUUGUAAAGCACUUUAAGUUGGGAGGAAGGGCAGUAAGUUAAUACCUUGCUGUUUUGACGUUACCAACAGAAUAAGCACCGGCUAACUUCGUG